UGCGGGGACGGCGCAAGAACGCAGGCGAAGCCGGCCCCUCUCCUGCGGCGGGGCGGGCUGAGGGGUUGGCCUAGACGGCACGGGAACCAGACGAAGGGCCUGUGGCUGGGCUUUAUAGGGUCCUGAUUCAACAGCUUCCCAGGCCGACCCCUGUGUUCACACAAAGUCCUGCAACCUCCUCUGUGAAGUGCAAUGAUAGCGUUACACCAGCUGACAGUGCUAUGCGGGGACCAGCACCAUGAAGCAGUCUUCAACCCCCUUUUACAAUGCCCUAACAGCGCAGCAUGUCUCCCUGCAUCAAGUACUGAGGGAGUGGUACGUAUACCAGGCUCCUGCUCCCUUCCUCCUUCUGCAGUAGCUGAGCCUCUCCCAUCCCUAACAGACUGCUUCUCUUUCACCCCUGGGAAACCAAGGCACAGAAAAGGCACAGGGGUUAAAGUAAAGAAUGGCACGGGGAGCAGAGCUUCUCCUCAUCCUCUGGGCUUGGGGGAUCUUCCCUCCUGCACCUCUCCUUAAGUGGUGUGGGGAGAAGAGUGGACUCACCCUAUCUUAAUCUAACUCAAACUCCAGACAUGACAAGAUUUCCCAGUCAGUCACCAAUGUGACCCCUGUGCUCUCAUCUAAUUUAUGUCAACUCUUGCCUGCCAUUACCAUACAGGUACAUCACCAUCAGCUUAUCAAUUGGGUCCAAUACUUAGAAGAUAGCUGUGGUGGUAGCAUGUUGAUUAUUAAUAUGUCUCUUGGGCGGUAAUCUAUGUACAGCUUCAGUAAUGCAUAAGUAACACAAGCAUCAAUCUGUCCAUCUGCCUUUUUCAUCCUCAUGAGCUACAGACUCUUCCAUAUUCCUGUGUGGGUGUAACAAAUCAAGCAUUUAUAGUCAUGGUGAAUGAACUUGAACACAACCACCAAAUUCUGCAUGAUUGAAGCUGGAGCCUGAAGAACAUAGUCUAAAUGAAAUAACCAGCCAACCACCUGAUCUUUUCAUUUCUGCUGGUAUUUUGAUGUUCAGAUUAUCAGAUAAGGUGGGUUUUUUUAAAAAUACUUAGCCAUAUGCUGAAAUCCACUGAUACAGUAACAUGUAUGGUUCAUGGCCUGGGUCUCUGCUCUGUGACGUUUAGCCCUUACUCUUACAAUGUGCCCACGUAUCCAUAACAUGACAGGAGCCUUAAUUUAUAUGCUACACUCUUAGAUGAAAUUCACAAGUACAAGUCAUAUGGGACUCAAAGCACCUGUCCAUGACAGCCUAAUCAAAGAUCACAAGUGAUGCAAAUCACUAAAGCAGGAGUGUUUUCAUGUCUAUAUAUAGAAAAGGGAGAUGACUAUAAAUUCAGGAUUUCUUUUAAAUAACUCAAUCUGCUAUGGAUCUAUCACUGAUUUCAAUAAGUUGCAUAAAGAUUAUGUAAUACCAAAUAAAUAAAAAUUUAGUUGGUAUCUGUCAUAAAUAUAAAGGGAAGGGUAAACACCUUUAAAAUCCCUCCUGGCCAGAGGAAAAACCCUUUCACCUGUAAAGGGUUAAGAAGCUAAGAUAACCUCUCUGGCACCUGACCAAAAUGACCAAUGAGGAGAGAAGAUACUUUCAAAGCUGGGGUGGGGGGGAAACAAAGGGUCUCUCUGUCUGGGUGAUACUUUUGCCGGGAACGGAAAAGGAAUGGAGUCUUAGAACUUAGUAAGUAAUCUAGCUAGAUAUGUGUUAGAUUCUGUUUUGUUUAAAUGGCUGAUAAAAUAAGCUGUGCUGAAUGGAAUGUAUAUUCCUGUUUUUGUGUCUUUUUGUCGUUUAAGGUUUUGCCAAGAGGGAUUCUCUAUGUUUUGAAUCUGAUUACCCUAUAAGAUAUAAGGAAAUUAAUCUGUCAUCUGGGAGAUUCAGAGAACAGGACUCUUGUCAGUUUUAAUCCCAUGCUGAUUCAGAAAGAAAGCAGGCAACAGAAAACUGGAGGGAUGAUAUGGCAAGAGAAGGAAUGAUUUCGGAGAUUAAAAUAAUUAUGUAUGUAUAGCCUACCUAGCAGGCAACCAUAGGUGGGCAUGUGGGGAGGGGACCGAGGAGGGUUUGAACACCAAGGAGAAAGAACAAUUAUUUAGGGUGGUCCAAGGGAGAAUAAAUAGGAGUAACAGGAUUAAAUUAAGCAAAGGAAGAUUUAAGAUGAAUAUCAGGAAACAAAAAACAACAAGACCCAUUAGACCAUGGAAUAGUUAUAAGGGAAGCAGUGGAAGAAAAUCACCAUUAGACAACCCAUAUGGAAUAGAGGGAUGGACUAACUGGCCUGACUAGUAGUCAUCUCUGAUUCCUACGUUUUUACAAUGAAGCAUGCAUAAUAUCUGCAAUGGCAAAGUCAGUCUCUUAGUUUUGUUAAUGGGUCACCCAACUACUUCUAGCCGUCAUUUGGGGAUGGCUAAUAGUACUCAGUUUUCAGAGGGUCUUUUUGGGAGAAAAAAAUAUAUUUUGGAUCAUCACCAGAACAACAUCCUUUAAGAGUAAUAAACAUAUCAACAGUACCUACCUUUCCAAUUUUCCUAUGAUCCCGAUUUCUGGCUUCCUCUUGGAAUUUUUCCCAUUCCUUCAUCAUUUUGUUAUCAGGGAAGGAUAUUCCAUAGAUUCUCUGCAAUGUUUCCAUGUCAGCCUUUCCCUCCCAAUAUGUAGAAGAAUUCUGAUGUUAAAAAACGAACAUUUUUUAAAAACAGUAUUAUACAAACACAGCUGCAGGAGAAGAAUAAAUGCUAAUGCAAUCUGAUUAUCUGACUGCUUCUUGGGAAAAGAAUUGUCAAGUCAUCCAAUAUUGGUUUAAAAGACAAAGAUACUUGCAGUUAAAUGUAUGAACGGCUUUUUUGUUGGGAUAGUAACACAGCAUGCAUAAAAAUAAAUAAUUGUUCUAAUCAUG